CCAGACUCCUACGGGAGGCAGCAGUGGGGGAUAUUGCACAAUGGGGGGAACUCUGACGCAGUGACGCCGCGUAUAGGAAGAAGGUUUUCGGAUUGUAAACUAUUGUCAUUAGGGAAGAUAAAAGACUGUACCUAAGGAGGAAGCCCCGGCUAACUAUGUGCCAGCAGCCGCGGUAAUACAUAGGGGGCAAGCGUUAUCCGGAAUUAUUGGGUGUAAAGGGUGCGUAGACGGGACAGCAAGUUAGUUGUGAAAGCCCUCGGCUUAACUGAGGAACUGCAACUAAAACUAUUGUUCUUGAGUGCAGGAGAGGAAAGCGGAAUUCCUAGUGUAGCGGUGAAAUGCGUAGAUAUUAGGAGGAACACCAGUGGCGAAGGCGGCUUUCUGGACUGUAACUGACGUUGAGGCACGAAAGUGUGGGGAGCAAACAGGAUUAGAUACCCCGGUAUA
rnacentral:rRNA from 1 species